rnacentral:rRNA from 1 species
GACGUAGGGCGCGAGCGUUGUCCGGAUUUAUUGGGCGUAAAGAGCUCGUAGGCGGCUUGUCGCGUCGAAUGUGAAAACUCGGGGCUCAACUCCGAGCUUGCAUUCGAUACGGGCAGGCUAGAGUUCGGUAGGGGAGACUGGAAUUCCUGGUGUAGCGGUGAAAUGCGCAGAUAUCAGGAGGAACCCCAGAGGCGAAGGCGGCGCGCUGGCUCGCAACUGACGCUCAGACACGAAAGCAUGGGGAGCGAACGGG